rnacentral:rRNA from 1 species
UAGGGAAUCUUCCGCAAUGGACGCAAGUCUGACGGAGCAACGCCGCGUGAGUGAAGAAGGAUUUCGGUUCGUAAAACUCUGUUGUUAGAGAAGAACAGCGCAUAGAGUAACUGUUAUGCGUGUGACGGUAUCUAACCAGAAAGCCACGGCUAACUAGGUGCCAGCAGCCGCGGUAAUACGUAGGUGGCAAGCGUUGUCCGGAUUUAUUGGGCGUAAAGCGAGCGCAGGCGGUCAAUUAAGCCUGAUGUGAAAGCCCCCGGCUCAACCGGGGAGGGUCAUUGGAAACUGGUUGACUUGAGUGCAGAAGAGGAGAGUGGAAUUCCAUGUGUAGCGGUGAAAUGCGUAGAUAUAUGGAGGAACACCAGUGGCGAAGGCGACUCUCUGGUCUGUAACUGACGCUGAGGUUCGAAAGCGUGGGUAGCAAACAGG